rnacentral:misc_RNA from 1 species
GAGGGAUGCAACUUCCUUUCCCUUUUCAUCUAAAAAAUCAACUACCGUCACAAAUACUCCCUUCGUUCCAAGAGCUAAACUAAGCGCUUUCCCAAUUCUAGAGGCGCCACCAGUAACUAAAGCUGAUAAACCUAGCUUGAUCUCCAUAGAAUUGCCUUUUUUUUGGCUUCUCAGCAGUGAUUGUCAACGAGAGAAGAUUGAGCCAGAUAAGUGUU